rnacentral:rRNA from 1 species
GAUGAACGCUGGCGGCGUGCCUAACACAUGCAAGUCGAGCGGAGAUCUGACGAGUAGCAAUACAAGUCAUAUCUUAGCGGCGGACGGGCGAGUAACACGUGAGUAACCUGCCUUCAACUGGGGAAUAACACCGUGAAAACGGUGCUAAUACCGCAUAAUGUUGUCUUAUGGCAUCAUAGGACAACCAAAGGAGCAAUCCGGUUGAAGAUGGACUCGCGUCCGAUUAGCUAGUUGGUGAGGUAACGGCCCACCAAGGCGACGAUCGGUAGCCGAACUGAGAGGUUGAUCGGCCACAUUGGGACUGAGACACGGCCCAGACUCCUACGGGAGGCAGCAGUGGGGAAUAUUGGGCAAUGGGCGAAAGCCUGACCCAGCAACGCCGCGUGAAGGAAGAAGGCCUUCGGGUUGUAAACUUCUUUGACCAGGGACGAAAGAAAUGACGGUACCUGGAAAACAAGCCACGGCUAACUACGUGCCAGCAGCCGCGGUAA